rnacentral:rRNA from 1 species
UACGUAGGGCGCAAGCGUUUGUCCGGAAUUAUUGGGCGUAAAGAGCUCGUAGGCGGUCUGUCGCGUCUGCCGUGAAAACCCGAGGCUUAACCUCGGGCUGGCGGUGGAUACGGGCAGACUAGAGGUAGGUAGGGGAGAAUGGAAUUCCCGGUGUAGCGGUGAAAUGCGCAGAUAUCGGGAGGAACACCGGUGGCGAAGGCGGUUCUCUGGGCCUUACCUGACGCUGAGGAGCGAAAGCAUGGGGAGCGAACA